CACACUGAAGUCUUGAAGGGCAUUCAGAAGUUUCCUGGCAUCAACUACCCAGUCCUGACCCCAAAUUUGAAAGGCUUCGAGGCAGCGGUUGCUGCUGGAGCCAAGGAAGUAGCCAUCUUUGGAGCUGCCUCAGAGCUCUUCACCAAGAAGAACAUCAAUUGUUCCAUAGAGGAGAGUUUUCAGAGGUUUGACGCAAUCCUGAAGGCAGCGCAGUCAGCCAAUAUUUCUGUGCGGGGGUGAGUCCAGAGCACAUUGGUAUCCUUUCCUCUGUACCGUUCUGGAAUGGGGCUAGACUCUGACUCAAGUGGUCCUCCUGCCACAAACGUCUUAUUCUGGAUGGGGGCAGCCCGAGCUCCAUACCUAGACAUCUUUUCCCAAAUAAGUGUGGUCAGAAGAAAUCCUAGCAAGUAUUUUCUCUCAAACCUGAAUUUUGGGUCAGUUUACCAGCUAGCCAUGAUAGCAUGCGCCUGUAGUCCUAGCAACUUGGGAGACUGAGGCAGAGGAUGGCUUGAGACCAGGAGUUCGAGGCUGCAGUGAGCCAUGAUAGCACCACUGCUAUCAUGCUAAAGGAAUCUAGCAGGACAGGACACUAACG
rnacentral:sRNA from 1 species